rnacentral:lncRNA from 1 species
GGGCAGAGGAAGAACGGCACUUCUGACAUCAGAGGCUCCAGCUGAAAGGUUCCAAAUCUAGGAGCUGGAGUCCAUGACUCACAGGAAGAGAAGAUUAAGACACAGAGAUACCAGAGAGGUCGUUCACAGAGGAAAGACCAUGUGAAGACGCAGUGAGAAGGUGGCCAUAUUCAAGCUGAGGAGAGAGACCUCAGAAGAAACCAAUACUGCCAACGCCUUGGUCUUGGACUUCCAGCCUCCAGAACUGUCCUGGAUCAGAAGAUGCCUGACAAGAGGCCACUAUCAGCAGCAACAGCACAGUGGGGACAAACCUGAGACCUUGAUGGACCGUGGACACCAGCAGGAGAGACAGAGGAACUUGAAGUCUAAAUGGGCAGACAAGACCAACAUACACAAAGCAGAGAGUGGCACAAGAGCCAUGUCUGAUGCAACAGUGACUCAGGAGGAUCACUCUGACUCAGAAUGGCCAAGCAAAGGUAUUGGGAGGAAGUGGGAUAGAACUGAGCUUUGAAGACCGUGCUAAAAUAUUUACAGACUCCCCAGGUUAUCUCAAGUUCUCUCCAGGAAUUAGCUUCACCUCUUUGUGCUUUGGCUCCACAUCAGUUAAAUAGUGGUAACGUUUGAUCGUUAAGAACCAUGUAGAGAUGAAACAAUUUUCAAAGUUUUUUAAUUAAGUGUACUCAUUGCCACUCAAAGACAAAUACCAUAUAAAUAUAAUAAUAAUCAUAUUGAGAAACAAAAUAGCAAUGAUGCAGAUACUCAUGUACUGUUUCAUGUUUGUGGUCUUUGAGGGGAGUUUUUACUCAAAUAUCCCUAGAUGAAUAAAUACAUAUGGUC